rnacentral:rRNA from 1 species
GACAGAGGGUGCAAACGUUGUUCGGAAUUACUGGGCGUAAAGCGCACGUAGGCGGCUUUGCAAGUCCCAUGUGAAAUCCCACGGCUCAACCGUGGAAGUGCAUGGGAAACUGCAGAGCUUGAGUACUUAAGAGGAUCGCGGAAUUCCCGGUGUAGAGGUGAAAUUCGUAGAUAUCAGGAGGAACACCAGUAGCGAAGGCGGCACUCUGGGCCGGUACUGACGCUGAGGAGCGAAAGCGUGGGGAGCGAACAGG